AGUGAACGCUGGCGGUAGGCCUAACACAUGCAAGUCGAACGGCAGCACAGUAAGAGCUUGCUCUUACGGGUGGCGAGUGGCGGACGGGUGAGGAAUACAUCGGAAUCUACUUUUUCGUGGGGGAUAACGUAGGGAAACUUACGCUAAUACCGCAUACGACCUACGUGUGAAAGCAGGGGAUCUUCGGCCCUUGCGCGAUUGAAUGAGCCGAUGUCGGAUUAGCUAGUUGGCGGGGUAAAGGCCCACCAAGGCGACGAUCCGUAGCUGGUCUGAGAGGAUGAUCAGCCACACUGGAACUGAGACACGGUCCAGACUCCUACGGGAGGCAGCAGUGGGGAAUAUUGGACAAUGGGCGCAAGCCUGAUCCAGCCAUACCGCGUGGGUGAAGAAGGCCUUCGGGUUGUAAAGCACUUUUGUUGGGAAAGAAAAGCAGCAGGUUAAUACCCCGCUGUUCUGACGGUACCAAAAGAAUAAGCACCGGCUAACUUCGUG
rnacentral:rRNA from 1 species